rnacentral:sRNA from 1 species
UGACUAAAUAGCGUAGCCAGCUCUUCGGCC